GCUGCCCAGAUAUUCUGAGGGUGCGGGACGGAAUGUACGGGGAGAGGCGGUCCUUCAGGUGCGAGUGAACUCUCUGCUGUGGUGCAACAAGAGUGAUGGGUGAAAAUCCCUGGGCGACCCAGUUGGAUCCAAAGCAGCUGAAAAGAUAGUCAUGCAGGUCUCCUCCUUGGUCAUAGAAGACCCCAAAAUACACUAUUAAUAUACCUGGAAGGUUAUGAAGACAGAGGGAAGAACAAGUGAUCCUGACUGUCAAUUGCUUCCCGAAGCUGGCUGCUGUGUGAAGGUGUUGACAGUGAUUGCCAUGAGGGGAGAGAAGCAGAGUCAUGCCCCUUUACACUAUAUGAUUUCCUAAGAAGCAAAACUGCAGCAGAAGAGACCUAUGGUACAAAGGCAGUAAUAGAAUAGCAGCAAGAGUGAGAGCCUACUGAUGGGUUUUUCCCAUCAAUCAAAAGGACUCCAAGAACUUUACUUCCUUGUCCCCAUGAAAGAGGAUUCUGUCAGCAUGCUGGAAAAAGCCUACCCGCCUUUGCUUGCUAUGGGCCAGAUUCAAAUAUGGAGUUGUGAAAGCUGCCAGAUAAUAAUAGAUACAGUGAUCAGAAUGCUGUUGGCGCAGUAUGCUAACGACUGCACAUUUUCCAGGGUCAUACAGCGGUGGUGAAGGAGAAGAGACAAAUGCAGUUGGCUCUGAGAAGCCUAUUCCUCCAGUCCCUGGCUUCCUUCACUGCUGCUGUGCAUACAGUCUUUUUUCCACUUUUACCACCUUUGUGCACACCAGCAUAGUUACCCUGGCAUAGUGCAAUAAUAGGAUUCUGAACUAUGCUUCCUCUAAUGAGGAAUAUACCAUGUGGAAUAGUCCCCCCCUCUGAAAUCAGGGAGACUCCUUAGAGUACGGUAUUUCCAUUAACAAUUAAACACACAUUUCUUUGUCCAGAUACUCCCCUGAUACAGGCAUGUGCAUAUUAAAUAAAUAAAUAAAUAACCUUAUUCUUAUAUGCCGCCUUUCUGCUGCAGCAAUCAAGGUGGCUUACAUGACUAGAAUAUAUUGGAAUAAUACAUACUCUCAAUAAAUAAAUAUUGGUGAAAAUAAGUUUCAAAAAUGCUUCACAAUAGAAAAAUUGUUUGCAAAAUGUUAUCACAGGGGGAAAAUUGCAUACAAAAAUUCCCAGGUCAUCAGAAAUGCAUACAAAAAUGCAGACAAUUUUUCAGGUGAACUAUGAAAAAAAUGACCAGAGUUUGGAACAAGCCAAACUGAAGACUGGACAAAUGAGAAAUGGAGAGAAAAUUAAAGGGAAAGACCCAUUCAUUUGUAUAGCCAAGUCCUCUUGUCCUGUUAAGUAAGCAAUUUCACUGUUUGAUUCUUCAUAGUCUUAUAUUAUUCUGUGUUGUUACAAGUGCUAUAUUUAGUCUAUGGGUUGUUUUGGUAUAUCUAAUGAAAAGCAAUAUACCCUUCUUUUUAAAAACAAAAAACAAAACAAAACCCUAACUGUCAAAUAUAGGAUGAUUCACACUGUCAAAAUAAAACAGCUUGGCACCACUUUAAUUGGCAGGAUGCUAUCCUAGAGAAUCUUGGGAUCUGUAGUUUUGUCAGGCACCAGAGCUUUCUGACAGGCCAGGCUGAAUUAUGCACCAAACUACAAAUCCCAGGGUGCCACAUGAUGGAGCCAUGACAGUUAAAGUGGUAUCAAAUUGCUUUAUUUCUGUAGUGUGGCUUGUAUCAUAGUCAAAUGUCAUUAAAUAGAC